AAGCGACCGGAAAUAACCUCGGGUAGGGAGUCUGAAUGAUCCACUUAAUUCUGAUGGCAGCUGUAAAAGAAAAAAAUAGCCCGACAUCGAUUAGUUCUACAAAACGUUGUCCUUGAUGGUGGGAGAUGAGACCGAAUUAAAAAAAGAAGAAGAGAUUUCUCAGUCUUUGUCCGAAAAUCCGAUUUCCGGAGUCAUUUUGAGCGUCCGGGACUAACAUCUGUUGGUUCGGUUCCAAAUUUUAUCUUUGCCCCCUAUCUUGUCGUCGUCGGUUUUUAUGAAAGCCGAUAUCAUGCAUAUGUACAAAUGAAUGAUCUAGCUGGUCAUAAUUACGCUGUAAUUAUUGAUUAUCGGUCUUUGUCGGCGACAGUACAUUAGCGCUAUGUCGCCCCAGUGACAGAUGUAGAGCGGCCAGAGGUCCAAUACGAUGGAUUUUAUAGGACUCCGAGUCGACUGCGAGAGCCGAAACAAUAAUUAUGUCUCCAUCCACUAACGAGAUGUCGAUAAUUAGGCGCCUCGUGGAUUUAGAGACGGCGAUUAAUUAAUGGAGAGAGAGAGAGAGAGAGAGAGAGAGAGAGAGAGAGAGAGAGAGAGAGAGAGAGAGAGAGAGAGUCUACAUGUAUAAUAGGGCUAUUGCCUAAGUACUUGUUAUAUGAUUAUGUUUUAUGUAUUGUUUCAUUAUGAGAACAAAUUAUUAUGACAUCAGG
rnacentral:sRNA from 1 species